GGUUGUGGCUCAAUGGUAGAGUGCUUGCCUAACAUCUGUGAGGCACUGGGUUCAAUUCUCAGCACCA
rnacentral:tRNA from 1 species